rnacentral:rRNA from 1 species
UAGAAUUCCACGUGUAGCGGUGAAAUGCGUAGAGAUGUGGAGGAAUACCCGUGGCGAAGGCGGCCUUCUGACAGAUACUGACGCUGAGAUGCGAAAGCGUGGGGAGCAAACAGGAUUAGAUACCCUGGUAGUCCACGCUGUAAACGAUGUCGAUUUGGAGUUUGUUGCCUUGAGUGAUGGGCUCCGAAGCUAACGCGAUAAAUCGACCGCCUGGGGAGUACGGCCGCAAGGUUAAAACUCAAAUGAAUUGACGGGGGCCCGCACAAGCGGUGGAGCAUGUGGUUUAAUUCGAUGCAACGCGAAGAACCUUACCUGGUCUUGACAUCCACAGAAUCUUGCAGAGAUGCGAGAGUGCCUUCGGGAACUGUGAGACAGGUGCUGCAUGGCUGUCGUCAGCUCGUGUUGUGAAAUGUUGGGUUAAGUCCCGCAACGAGCGCAACCCUUAUCCUUUGUUGCCAGCGGUUUGGCCGGGAACUCAAAGGAGACUGCCGUUGAUAAAGCGGAGGAAGGUGGGGACGACGUCAAGUCAUCAUGGCCCUUACGACCAGGGCUACACACGUGCUACAAUGGCGUAUACAAAGGGAGGCGACCUCGCGAGAGCAAGCGGACCUCAGAAAGUACGUCUAAGUCCGGAUUGGAGUCUGCAACUCGACUCCAUGAAGUCGGAAUCGCUAGUAAUCGUGAAUCAGAAUGU